rfam:Acetohalobium arabaticum DSM 5501, complete genome.
UAAAUCCCAUCAGGGUAAAGGUUAGCUAUCAGCUCUGUAUCGAGUCUUGGAGAGAUUACGGUAACGUAAUCUUUUAAGCGUAGACAGAAAGUUAGCAAGGUAGAAUCGUCUGAAUUGGUUUGUCAGCGGUGAAUGGUAUUGAGCCUCGAAAAUAGUGUACCUAAUGAUGAUGGCCGAAGCUGUCGCUAAGGUGGAAGGCAUUAUUUAGCUAUGCGGUUUGGCAAGCAUAGUUAAACACUCUCCGGGGUCUAAGGCCC